rnacentral:lncRNA from 1 species
AUGAAAAAAUUCCUGUAUUUCAGAAGACAGCGGUGCUCUGUGCAGUGCCUAGAGAGAUGUUGUGUGAUGCUCUUCAGCCUGGAGAAAGGCUACAGGAGGGCUUUGUUCUCCAGGCGGUGUGGCGGUGAGAGCUGUGCCUGGCGCACAACCGAAGCACCACUGCAGAGAAAUGCAGACACCACGAUAAAGAAGCACAGACACCAGGGUGGCAGGCGAGCCCGAGUGCUGCACUGCACCCAGGCGAGGACAGGCAGCCAGGGAGCUUGCUGGCCGAAGGGCAGGGCUGUGAACGGGGUGUGCUCAACUAGGGACAUCAGAAAUGGCCCCAGCUGUACAGUGCCAGAUUUCAGCCUCGGUGAUUUUGCAUUUUAAAACACGCAAGAGGGCACGGACAGAGGGAAAAGUAGUCACCAUGCCACUAGGAUGUCACUAGCUGCCCUGGGAAGGAGCUGGGGGAGGGCAGAGGCAUGUGCUGCCCUGCUUCUCCAGCCCGCAGUGUCCUUCUGAAGUUACAAAAUGCCUUCAGGAAGGGCUUCUCCACCUGAAAACUCGUUCACUGUUUUUCCACUCAUAGCAGCUGGCCUAACUGAAAAAAUACUGUCUUUUCCUAACCUCGCUCGUCUGCUCACCCUGCCGACACGCUUGUGCUUUCCCAACAGUGCAGGCUCCAGCUGAGCAGCAGCUGAGACCGUUUGCCCCGCUGUCCUGCAGGAAGGUCGCUGCCGAACCCCCCUCUCCGACCGAGUUUCCAGACUGCGUUAUUUACGGGCAUUCAUCCCCGUGCCAGCAUUGUUUUCCGGGGUGAGGAGCUCUUCUGCCCUGCGGCAGGCGUUUCUAGGAAAGCAAUCCCUUCCCCUCUCUGCAUCUCUCCCAUGGGAUGGACAGGCCAGGCGCUGGCUCUCUGCUUGUGGGGUUGGCUCCCCGUCUCCGGAGCAGCCCCGCGCUGUACCUGCCCUUUCUCAACUUCCCCAGGGUGAGCAGAAGCGAGGUGCUGUGCUAGAUGUGGUCUCACCAGUGCAUCAGUUCUACCAAGCAUUUUAUAUUCCCGUAAGGAACUCAUGAUGGGAAAAUCUGAGCCAUCACCUGUGUCCAGAUUGCAGACCGUUGAGAAGAUACUCCCCAAGACGGUCCAGACCUGAGCUCCUGAGGAACUUCACCACUGAUUUCCAGGAGCAGUCCUNNNNNNNNNNNNNNNNNNNNCAUCAGUUCUACCAAGCAUUUUAUAUUCUCCUAAGGAGCUCAUGAUGGGAAAAUCUGAGCCAUCACCUGUGUCCAGAUUGC